rnacentral:misc_RNA from 1 species
UUACUGAUGAUGGGAUGAGAAUCAAAAGUGAACAAGUUUUGAGAUGGAUGCAGAAGCUAUAUUAGUAGCUAAAUGUCUAAGUGUCUAACCAAUUAAUGUGACUCUUCUAGCAUGUUCAAUGUGUGAUUUUUUUUUCUUUUUAUCUUCGUGUUGAAGUGUACUUUUGGCUUCAAUGUUUCAACUUUUGCUUGAACAUUAUUCACUUUUUGCUUUAGCACUACAUUUUCAUGAACUAAA